AGGUCUUCGAUUGCAAAAAUAGAUUUAGGGUUCCGACUAGAGAGAUUUAGUAAGGAGCGAUACUGGAGUAAAUGCGCAUAAGUCGAAGACGUGAGAGGAAUCUGGAAAAGCUUAGGCUUCUUCCAAAGGAAAUGCAUAGAACCCCAAUUGGCCAAUUCUUCUUUCUCUAUCUAAUUCGUUCUGAUUUACCUUCAAAAUCUGAUUGGUUGAUAUGUCUGCUGGUGGUCAACUUGAAGCCAACAAGAAAGCUAUGAAGAUCCAGUGAUAUGGCUGAAGCAAUUGAUUUGACUGGAUAUGGAGGUGUUUUGAAGAUGCUUGUGAAGUGAAGAGUGCUAAAAAUCUGAUACUAUUGCUCCUUCAGAGAGUCUUCCUCUUGUUGAUGGUUGGGGAGGUUGCCAAAAUAACUUGCAAGUCAAAUUAUGCCUCUGGUAGCACUGGUUCUCCGCCAGAUAUUCCACCAGAGUAAUUACCUCAUAGCUUAU
rnacentral:lncRNA from 1 species